ACAUGCAAGUCGAACGAACCUUCGGGUUAGUGGCGGACGGGUGAGUAACGCGUGAGAAUCUGCCCUCAGGAGGGGGACAACAGCUGGAAACGGCUGCUAAUACCCCAUAUGCCGCGAGGUGAAAUGAAUUUCGCCUGAGGAUGAGCUCGCGUCUGAUUAGCUAGUUGGUGUAGGUAAUGGCUCACCAAGGCAUCGAUCAGUAGCUGGUCUGAGGGGAUGAUCAGCCACACUGGGACUGAGACACGGCCCAGACUCCUACGGGAGGCAGCAGUGGGGAAUUUUCCGCAAUGGGCGAAAGCCUGACGGAGCAACGCCGCGUGAGGGAUGAAGGCCUCUGGGCUGUAAACCUCUUUUAUCAAGGAAGAAGAUCUGACGGUACUUGAUGAAUAAGCCACGGCUAAUUCCGUGCCAGCAGCCGCGGUAAUACGGGAGUGGCAAGCGUUAUCCGGAAUUAUUGGGCGUAAAGCGU
rnacentral:rRNA from 1 species